CCUACGGGGGGCAGCAGUCGAGAAUCAUUCACAAUGGGGGAAACCCUGAUGGUGCGACGCCGCGUGGGGGAAUGAAGGUCUUCGGAUUGUAAACCCCUGUCAUGUGGGAGCAAAUUAAAAAGAUAGUACCACAAGAGGAAGAGACGGCUAACUCUGUGCCAGCAGCCGCGGUAAUACCGAGGUCUCAAGCGUUGUUCGGAAUCACUGGGCGUAAGGCGUGCGUAGGCUGUUUCGUAAGUCGUGUGUGAAAGGCGCGGGCUCAACCCGCGGACGGCACAUGAUACUGCGAGACUAGAGUAAUGGAGGGGGAACCGGAAUUCUCGGUGUAGCAGUGAAAUGCGUAGAUAUCGAGAGGAACACUCGUGGCGAAGGCGGGUUCCUGGACAUUAACUGACGCUGAGGCACGAAGGCCAGGGGAGCGAAAGGGAUUAGAUACCCCAGUAGUC
rnacentral:rRNA from 1 species